GCAAGCCCUUGGCAGGGGAUGUGCAGAGCAACAAGUGCUGGCACUGGGUGCUGUGGGAGGCUGCACCCGCGCUGGCUCCGCUUGCGGUGCUCCUGGCUGCCCGCCUCCUUCCCUCUCUGGCACACACGUAACACAAAACUUCACAUCUCCGGGACAACCGGCAAGGAAACCAGCAGAGCCAACAGCUGGCUGUCAGUGGCGAGAAGCGGAGCGAGGAGCCCGACGAGCCAGUGUGAGGGGAGAGGUGACAUGAAAGUUUGAGUAGACAGGAAGAAAAACAAGCGGAGAAGAGUUCGUGGCAUGCCUGGGCAGAAAUCCCAGAGCAGCAAGAGCCCUCAGAACCAGCAUGCAGUGGGAAGUGCAGUUGAGCUGAAAACCAUUUGCUUCCUCCUGGGCAGGUUGGAGACUGCACCUGCAACAUCCCACUUUGUCUCUGAAGAAGUUCAAACUGAGCACAAAGCCUCGGCAGGUUGGCCGAGAAUGUCUUCGCAAGGCUUGCUGAAGGAAAUGCAAACCCUUGGUGAGAAGUUCCUCUUUAAGCUCCAGAACCUGCCCAAGGCUGACCCGGUGGAGAUUGUGUUCUUUUGCGUGGUUCUCCUGUUCAUCGUUACUGUUCUGCUGCUCAUGAUCAUUGCCUGCAGUUGUUGCUGCUACAGCUGCUGUGGCUGCGACGAACGGCCUGACCACAGACGUAAGAAGAUCCAGGUCUGCCCAACUGCCCAUUCCUGAAGUGCAAAGGGAGUUGACACAACCUGCUAUCAAGGACACAAAUGGACAUCAUGAGUCAGUCCUGCAGGAAUGACCACCUACACUAGCUCACUGAAAACGGCAAUAACAACAUUAAUUAACAUGACUCAGAGGACCAGAAAACAUAGUACGGAAUUCCUUCUGUCUGUGACAGCCAGCGCUGGCUCUGUGGCGUGGCCAAAAGGGUAAUGCUACUUUUUCAUCCCUGUCUCCCUCUUCUGGUGUUGGUGGGGGUGCAGGACACAUGCUGCCAAGAAAACAGACAAGCUUUCUCAGUGCCAGCCCUGCAGCUGCGCCAGUCUAGGAUUCCCCCUGCGAGCACGGAGCCACGGACCAAAGCAGAGAACAUGUGGGAGCACGGCCACAGCUCCCACUGUCUUCAUAUGCAGUUUAUCCAACGAUGGAGCUGGGUGCGAGCAAAACCCACGGACAUGACUGGGAGAUCCACAUGCCUGGUCCAUCUUGGAUCAAGCCCAACCUUGCCCUCCUAAAAGUCACUGCAACAGACACGUUUAGCUGAGAUGUCUCCUAGAAAAAAAUCAUGGAUAUUAUGAUACAGACAUGCCAGCUGAGGCUCUAAGUGCAGCUGGUAAGAAACACUCCCUGCAUUUCAUAGCUGCUACAAUGGUAUGAAAUAACCAAAGAGAAAAAACAGACCACAUGCAAUAUCCUUUGUAAACAGAAGAAUGAGGGCAAAAGGGAAAAACUCACCAAUGCUAUGGCCUAAUUUGAUCAUCCUGCUGCUAAAUGUGCUCCCUCCUAAUCCCCACGUGGUUCUGCUCCUCUGCUCAGUACAGGGGAUCGUCCUUAAGGCGCACAGGAGUUACAGGAGGUGAACAUACUCAUCCUCACCUGAGAGAUCAGUGUGCCCGGCUCCCUGCACUGUGUGCAGUUUAUUUUAGUGGACAUAACCACCAUGCCUGAGGUGUGAUUAUCAGCACACAAGGCGUUUUGGAGGGCUGACACACAGUCUGGUAACCGGCACCCUGGGGCAUGCAUGCAGCAGCUGGCAGCAGGCACUGUGACAAAAGCGAGCCACAACGGGGCUGUAUGGCUGAAGUUUGCAAGCGCAAAUAAAUCCCUUUCCCAUGCUGCAGCCACUAUGUAUGUUUGAGUUACACUUCGGUGAACUUUAGAAAAGGAUCUGAGUAAGUACUGAGCUUUGGCGCAGGCCACAGCUUUCAUAACCUGGACAGCCAAGCAGAAGGCCAAAACAUUGCCCUUAACUCUGUAAGACAGUUACUUGCAGAUGGAUAAGUCACCUUCUACCUUGGUAUUCCAGCUGCUAAGCACAGGGGAGGAGAAGGGAUUACACAUCUAUAUCCCAGAACCAAUAGCCAGCUACAGAAAAGAAUCACUGGGUCUGUAAUAGUGGGGUUUCAAAUGUUCUUCAGUCUUCAGAAAGGACAAAAAAGGGAAAACCUCAUAAAGAAACCUCUUUUUGCUGAUGCCCUACCCCAAUUAGUAAAAAGACCAUUACAGUCAUAGCUUCACAUGUACUUAACACACUUUAAUUUUUGCAAAGAAACUAGGCUUAAGUAUUUCCACUUCUGUGCUGCUGCACACUGGAAUCUCUGCAGUGACACAGGGAAAUGCUUACACAUUAAGGAUAUAUACCUCAAACUACCAAUAUUGUAAAUUGAUGAAAAUGUUCUAGCAGAAGAUGAGUAUGUUCCUUAAGAAGUAGAUAUCCAAGCCCCCACUUGACAACCACCAACAGAGACUGCACUGGCACGAGCUGCUGCACUCACACGUACCCUGAGGCUAACAAAGUGCUGUCCUAGAGCUUUCCCUCCCAGCCAAUACGUGGGCUAGGACAAGCUCAAGCCAGGCAUCAGCAUUCGGAGAUGCGUGGCACUAACCUCUCUGUCAGAUAUGUUUGUAGGUGAAAUGAGCAAAGACAAGUGACAAGCAGGGUGACAUAAGAAGGCUCAGAAUCUCUUUUGCAGAGGACAGACUAAACAGAUGUUACUGUAUCAGAGCUGAGUCACGAGACCUGUGAAAGAACAGAGCAUUCUUUCUCUCCUGGCCUGUGACAGAUAGUGCCAGCUCCGGGAAUUAACAGAACCCCAUUGAGAAGUGUCUCAGCAGCAUGGAACCAGGUUGUGCUAACAGUCAGGAGGAAGCUCAGCGGGCUGGAAACCAACGGCUGCCAGGUUGCUGUCCUAGGAACAAGCUGCCAAGCCUUAUAUCAACAGGAAAAGCUACAAAUACAAGUUUCCAGUGGUGUUUCCAGUUAAACCACUGACAGACAACAGGCACGGGGACAAGAGAAACUACUCCUGUCUUAUCUCUGUCACUGUAAGUUCCUGAAUUAGAAGCAGAAAAUAAACAUAAAACUGUUAAAAAAGAGAAGGAGAGAAAAUUAAGCCAUUUUCUAAAGAACUCUGGUGGCUUUGUGGAGCAGCCACAACGUAGAGGAAGGGUCCCUGGACAGUUUCUGUGUACCUGCCUGGAUCUCACAGGCCUAAUGCUCUGCUUUGUACCAGUUUGUACCACUGUACUCAGCUGGGCUACUCUCAGACUCUGUGUUUAGAUACACCCAUUGCUCACCUGGGCUGUGUGAAUGGAUGCUGCCUGCAUGCAUGCAAUGGAUCAGGUGGGCUUGAAGAUGCCCAGCAGAUGCUUGGCUUACUGCAGCUCUUCACUUUCUGCAGCCAAGAAACAUAAGGUCUCUGGGUCCCUGCUCACCACUCACGUAACCUUUGGUGGUUUUAGCUUCCAUCUUGACCCACACAAAGGAACCUGGGAUGCCCUGAGCACUAGUGAGGAUGGAUUCUCUCCAUUUUGAAAAGCAGAGAGAGAUUCAGAAAAGCACAGACUCAGGCUAGUGCUUCAGACACAGCAAUGUCUGCAUGCGUCAUGAAAGCCAGAGAGAGCCCAGAAGGAACUGCAAGGGAAUAGUUACUUCAGUCCUGAUGAUAUGAGUGUUGAAACAGUUUUCCCCCCCAAGGACCCUAAAAGAGACCACGAGGCCAGCCUCUCCAACAGCGACUUAAUGGAACAGCUUCUGUUCUCUAACAUCAUCUCUCUGCUUUCAAAGGGAUUUGCUUGGCUUGUGAAAAACAAGGGUUUUUUCAUACACACAUAGUCUCAAACAACACACUCUCCUUUCUCCCAUCCCACCUCUCACCAGCACCAUCCCUCUGGUCCUUCAGUUACAAAAGUCAGGGAGUUGGCAGUAUUGCAGUAGGCAGUAGUAAAAAGGCUCUCUAAUGUAUUUAUCCACCUGAACUGCCAUGACGCAGAUUACACAGGAAAUCAGUCUUGUUCACACUCUUAUUUCAGAUCUGGCAGCCUCCUAGCAGAACUUACAAUGCAGAUCCAGUCAGGACCCAGGACACAAAGCUCUCUCCUCCCCACCACAGUCUGCAGCCUCUCCCAGUCAGAGGGCAUAGUGGACCUUACAGGCACAGGAAGAGGUGCCUGCUGUGUGAGAAAAGCCAUGGAGAGGAAGAGACAUCCAAGCAACAUCUCAUCCGGGUCCUUUUACCCAAGCCUUCGAUUAGAUUAGCCACACCUUUGCAGGCAAUCAGCUAUUAAUCAUUUACUGCAGUGUAAACAGCUGGCUUCCAAGCUGGCUUUGUGAGCCUGCAGGUGCAGGAAGUGGGGACCCUCACCACAGACCACAAUCUCUGGGAGUGGGCGCAGAGGAGGCACCAGAAGGAACACCUGCAGGUCCAGCAGGGUGGAAGCCAGUAUGUCACCAGGACAAGAGAUGUCCUCGGUUCUGGGGGACCUGAAGAGGCUGAUUGCAACAAGUGACUGGGCUCUUGCAGGGUUGGUGGUGAUCGGCACCUUCUGUCUUGUUCUUGUUGCUCUCCUCUUAUUUGCCGCCAUCUUUGGGUGCUGCUCAUCCCCUAGGCACAAAUGGAGCAGUGUGUAGCGAGCAAAGCUCAGACGCGGUGCCUGGAGCCCCAUGAGCUAUGCGAUAAUCAGCCCAGCAACUACUCAACUGUGCUGCUCAUAGUUUCUUCACCUUCUCUGCCUGGGUGGCUAUUUUUCCCCACGUAACUUCCCUGCCUCACCAGCAAUGUGGCACUGCUAGCAAGUCAUUCUGCAAGCCCACCGUAAACUCAGCACGUAAGGCUCUGCACGUUCAGGAACUGCGUGGCAGACAAAUACCAAAGCCAACCCGUUAUUGCCCGAUUUUCAUCUUUCAAGCAAAACCAUGGGUAAGAGGUGGCAAAUGGUCGACCACCACCUAAAACUGAUCAAGAUGUCUUCUGUCGCUGCAGUUAUGUGGGGUUUUUUCCACCCAUAGGCAACAGGAAACUCUGACCAGCAAAAGCUUUGUCUAAGCCCCUCUUUCAAAGCAGCGUGCACCAUUGUUCUGCCAUACUCGGACAAGAGCCUAAAUACACAAUGCAAAAAACUUGCUUGCCAGUGCAUCGGUCUGCCUUCAUUUGUUCUUAUUUAGAACGUCGCAAGGUCAGAGUUCCAGGUUUACUUACACUGGUUGGAUGGUGAACAGAACUGCGUGAGCUCAAAACGUAAAACAGAAAUGCAACGUGGUGUUCCUGUAAACAGCAUCCUAGUCCCCUGCACAGCUGAGGAGCAGGGAAGCCAGUCAGCAGGGCUGCAGUGUGUGACUGGGGUGCACAGGGCAUGUUGUACUGUAGGGAGAGUGUGCCAAGCUGGGGGAGGGAAGAAAAAGCAUAGGAGACAAUUUCUAAAUAGGCGGGUGAUAUUCCCUUACAGAAACCUCUUUCAUUUGCCCAGUGAAAUCCUGUUUUCAUCACUAUUCCUGAGCAAAUGAGAAUGUUUUCCCUCUGCCCUUGCUCAGCUACUGCCCCAGUGCCACAGAGCAGCUCUAGAGAAUGUCCUCACUUCAGAGCAGUCAGGCUCUUUACAGCAUGCAUGAAGCAGAAGAUGCUGUGAGACGGUUAUGUGGGGCCCAGCUCCUCUCCUGACACAGACUCCUGCAAUGAGUAGUAAAAAACCAGAAGGAGCAGAGCUGUGCAGCCAAGUAAGUGGAUCAAAAUCCUAUAGCAAGAAGCUUCCUCGUAGCUCCUUCCCACACAGAAUCACUAUGACUUUCAGCAAAGAAGUGCUGCUUCUAGUGCCCCAGCUCGUGCCAUAAUU